rnacentral:rRNA from 1 species
AUUGAACGCUGGCGGCAUGCCUUACACAUGCAAGUCGAACGGCAGCACGGGAGCUUGCUCCUGGUGGCGAGUGGCGAACGGGUGAGUAAUACAUCGGAACGUACCCUGAAGUGGGGGAUAACGUAGCGAAAGUUACGCUAAUACCGCAUAUUCUGUGAGCAGGAAAGAGGGGGAUCGCAAGACCUCUUGCUUUAGGAGCGGCCGAUGUCGGAUUAGCUAGUUGGUGAGGUAAAGGCUCACCAAGGCGACGAUCCGUAGCGGGUCUGAGAGGAUGAUCCGCCACACUGGGACUGAGACACGGCCCAGACUCCUACGGGAGGCAGCAGUGGGGAAUAUUGGACAAUGGGCGCAAGCCUGAUCCAGCCAUGCCGCGUGAGUGACGAAGGUCUUCGGAUUGUAAAGCUCUUUUGGCGGGGACGAUAAUGACGGUACCCGCAGAAUAAGCCCCCGGCUAACUUCGUGCCAGCAGCCGCGGUAAU